AUUUCUUUAGAAUAAAGACCUAGUGAUUGGAUCAUCAAAAAACUGAAAUGAGCACUUGAAUAAAUACCUUAUAAACCUCUUGAUCUACAGAGAAGAAUGACUUUCAGGAUAAUUAAGCAAGUGUGCUCAAGUCACGGCUAGUUAAGUCACCAAACUGGCAUAUGAAUUCUCUCUCUCUUAGAUUUGUAUACUUCAGACACUGUACUUGAUAUAAAUUAUUUCCAGGUCUGGGGA